CCGGCGUGGUUGUAUCUCGCUGGGGCCUCCAGAAAUGUUACGGAAAUGACAGGUCAGCCAAGAAACAAGCACCACUCGGAGGGUUGGAGUACUCAGAUUUAUUA
ensembl:miRNA